UAAGGGCGCACGGUGGAUGCCUUGGCACUAGAAGCCGAUGAAGGACGUUACUAACGACGAUAUGCUUUGGGGAGCUGUAAGUAAGCUUUGAUCCAGAGAUUUCCGAAUGGGGAAACCCAGCAUGAGUUAUGUCAUGUUAUCGAUAUGUGAAUACAUAGCAUAUCAGAAGGCACACCCGGAGAACUGAAACAUCUUAGUACCCGGAGGAAGAGAAAGAAAAUUCGAUUCCCUUAGUAGCGGCGAGCGAAACGGGAAGAGCCCAAACCAACAAGCUUGCUUGUUGGGGUUGUAGGACACUCUAUACGGAGUUACAAAGGACGACAUUAGACGAAUCAUCUGGAAAGAUGAAUCAAAGAAGGUAAUAAUCCUGUAGUCGAAAAUGUUGUCUCUCUUGAGUGGAUCCUGAGUACGACGGAGCACGUGAAAUUCCGUCGGAAUCUGGGAGGACCAUCUCCUAAGGCUAAAUACUCUCUAGUGACCGAUAGUGAACCAGUACCGUGAGGGAAAGGUGAAAAGCACCCCGGAAGGGGAGUGAAAUAGAACCUGAAACCGUGUGCUUACAAGUAGUCAGAGCCCGUUAAUGGGUGAUGGCGUGCCUUUUGUAGAAUGAACCGGCGAGUUACGAUUUGAUGCAAGGUUAAGCAGUAAAUGUGGAGCCGUAGCGAAAGCGAGUCUGAAUAGGGCGUUUAGUAUUUGGUCGUAGACCCGAAACCAGGUGAUCUACCCUUGGUCAGGUUGAAGUUCAGGUAACACUGAAUGGAGGACCGAACCGACUUACGUUGAAAAGUGAGCGGAUGAACUGAGGGUAGCGGAGAAAUUCCAAUCGAACCUGGAGAUAGCUGGUUCUCUCCGAAAUAGCUUUAGGGCUAGCCUCAAGUGAUGAUUAUUGGAGGUAGAGCACUGUUUGGACGAGGGGCCCCUCUCGGGUUACCGAAUUCAGACAAACUCCGAAUGCCAAUUAAUUUAACUUGGGAGUCAGAACAUGGGUGAUAAGGUCCGUGUUCGAAAGGGAAACAGCCCAGACCACCAGCUAAGGUCCCAAAAUAUAUGUUAAGUGGAAAAGGAUGUGGCGUUGCCCAGACAACUAGGAUGUUGGCUUAGAAGCAGCCAUCAUUUAAAGAGUGCGUAAUAGCUCACUAGUCGAGUGACACUGCGCCGAAAAUGUACCGGGGCUAAACAUAUUACCGAAGCUGUGGAUUGUCCUUUGGACAAUGGUAGGAGAGCGUUCUAAGGGCGUUGAAGCAUGAUCGUAAGGACAUGUGGAGCGCUUAGAAGUGAGAAUGCCGGUGUGAGUAGCGAAAGACGGGUGAGAAUCCCGUCCACCGAUUGACUAAGGUUUCCAGAGGAAGGCUCGUCCGCUCUGGGUUAGUCGGGUCCUAAGCUGAGGCCGACAGGCGUAGGCGAUGGAUAACAGGUUGAUAUUCCUGUACCACCUAUA
rnacentral:rRNA from 2 species